rnacentral:misc_RNA from 1 species
AGCAGCCGCGGUAAUUCCAGCUCCAAUAGCGUAUAUUAAAGUUGUUGCAGUUAAAAAGCUCGUAGUUGAAUUUCGGGAUCAAUAUAUUGGUCGUGCCUUGGUACGUACUGGUAUCAUUGGUUUCUCCUUUCUGACGAACCAUGAUGUCAUUAAUUUGGUGUUAUGGGAAGUUAGGACUGUUACUUUGAAAAAAUUAGAGUGUUUAAAGCAGGCUUUGGCUUGAAUACAUUAGCAUGGAAUAAUGAAAUAGGACGUUCGAACCUAUUUUGUUGGUUUCUAGGAUCAACGUAAUGAUUAAUAGGGAUAGUUGGGGGCAUUAGUAUUCAAUUGUCAGAGGUGAAAUUCUUGGAUUUAUUGAAGACUAACUACUGCGAAAGCAUUUGCCAAAGAUGUUUUCAUUAAUCAAGAACGAAAGUUAGGGGAUCGAAGACGAUCAGAUACCGUCGUAGUCUUAACCAUAAACUAUGCCGACUAGGGAUCGGAUGAUGUUAAUUUUUUAAUGACUCAUUCGGCGCCUUAC